rnacentral:tRNA from 1 species
GCCCGGGUGGCUCAGUCGGCUGAGCGUCCGACUCUUGAUUUCGGCUGAGGUCAUGAUCCCAGGGUCGCAGGAUCGAGCCCUGCCUUGGGUU